rnacentral:tRNA from 1 species
GCCGGUGUGUUGGAAUUGGUAGACGAGGUGGACUCAAAAUCCAUUACCAGCGAUGGUGUGCGGGUUCGAGUCCCGCCACCGGCACCA